rnacentral:rRNA from 1 species
AGAGUUUGCUCAUGGCUCAGCCUUUGACUUAAAAAAUGGAGAAGUCGUAACAAGGUAACCGUAAGUCGUAACAAGGUAACCGUAGAGUUUGAUCAUGGCUCAGCCUUUGACUAAAAAAAUGGAGAAGUCGUAACAAGGUAACCGUAAGUCGUAACAAGGUAACCGUAAGUCGUAACAAGGUAGCCGGAGAGUUUGAUCAUGGCUCAGAUAAGUCGUAACAAGGUAACCGUAAGUCGUAACAAGGUAGCCGUAGGUCGUAACAGGGUAACCAUAGAGUUUGUCCUGGCUCAGGCGUCGGCAGCAAGACGCAACAAGGUAACCGUAAGUCGUAACAAGGUAACCAGUAA